rnacentral:rRNA from 1 species
AGAGUUUGAUCAUGGCUCAGGAUGAACGCUAGCGGCAGGCCUAAUACAUGCAAGUCGAACGGUAAGUGUUAUAGCAAUAUGACACCAAGAGUGACGCACGGGUGCGUAACACGUAUGCAACCUACCCUUUACAGGCGGAUAGCUCGGGGAAACUCGAAUUAACCCGCCAUAAUAUAAUUGAAUGGCAUCAUUUGAUUAUUAAAUCUGCGGAGGUAAAGGAUGGGCAUGCGUCUGAUUAGUUAGUUGGUAGUGUAACGGACUACCAAGAUGAUGAUCAGUAGGGGAACUGAGAGGUUGAUCCCCCACACUGGCACUGAGAUACGGGCCAGACUCCUACGGGAGGCAGCAGUAGGGAAUAUUGGUCAAUGGGUGAGAGCCUGAACCAGCCAUGCCGCGUGCAGGAAGAAGGCCUUCUGGGUUGUAAACUGCUUUUGCCAGGGGAUAAAAAUACCUUGCGAGGUAAAUUGAAGGUACCUGGUGAAUAAGCCACGGCUAACUACGUGCCAGCAGCCGCGGUAAUACGUAGGUGGCAAGCGUUGUCCGGAUUUAUUGGGUUUAAAGGGUGCGUAGGCGGCCCUGUAAGUCAGUGCUGAAAUAUCCCGGCUUAACCGGGAGGGUGGCAUUGAUACUGCGGGGCUAGAGUACAGAUGAGGUAGGCGGAAUUGACGGUGUAGCGGUGAAAUGCUUAGAUAUCGUCAAGAACACCUAUAGCGAAGGCAGCUUACUAGGCUGUAACUGACGCUGAGGCACGAAAGUGUGGGGAUCAAACAGGAUUAGAUACCCUGGUAGUCCACACUGUAAACGUUGAUUACUCGCUGUGUGCGAUAUACAGUACGCGGCCAAGCGAAAGCGCUAAGUAAUCCACCUGGGGAGUACGCCGGCAACGGUGAAACUCAAAGGAAUUGACGG